UUGACGUUUGAUGCCGAUGUUCCGUUGUGCCCAACAGAAGACUGUAACUGUGCUAAUGGUCACUUCAACUACUUGGACGCUGCUAAUAACUGCACCAGAUGCCAGUGCAGACCCCCCAUCUGCCGGCUCACGUGUGUGAACCUGUGCCUCUUCGGCUUUGAGCUUGACAGAGACGGCUGCCCCACCUGUCAGUGUCUCCGACCCACGUGUCCCAAGGUCCGCUGUAACAACCCACGGACGUGCACGAGGGGAUACAAGUACAACAAAUAUGGCUGCAACACUUGCCGCUGCAAGAGACCUUUCUGCCCACAGCGCCGGUGUUGGCGAGUGUGUGAGUUUGGUCACGUGAUACGUUAUGACGGAUGUGUGACGUGCUACUGCAGGGAUGGCCCGUGUCCGGAACUGGACUGUACUGAGGAGUGUGCUAACGGUCGGAUCAUUGAUACAAGCACCGGAUGUGAGACCUGCACUUGUCGACCUCCCGUGACGUGCCAAGUCCUGUCCUGUGGAGACUGCCCCAAUGGUUUUGUCCUUGAUGGCGACGGGUGCCAGACAUGCGUCUGUCUGUAGGAUGCCAUAGAAAUAAGAGAGAAAUGGAUUCCUCUUGGAUGUGUUUUAUUGGACCUAUCGUUCGGUUGGGAAACAUUAAAGCAACAAUAAAAAAUGAAUAUAAUUUCUUCUCA